rnacentral:rRNA from 1 species
UGGGGAAUAUUGCACAAUGGGCGAAAGCCUGAUGCAGCAACGCCGCGUGAGUGAUGAAGGUCUUCGGAUUGUAAAGCUCUGUCUUUUGGGACGAUAAUGACGGUACCAAAGGAGGAAGCCACGGCUAACUACGUGCCAGCAGCCGCGGUAAUACGUAGGUGGCGAGCGUUGUCCGGAUUUACUGGGCGUAAAGGGUGCGUAGGCGGAUGUUUAAGUGAGAUGUGAAGUACCCGGGCUUAACUUGGGUGCUGCAUUUCAAACUGGAUAUCUAGAGUGCAGGAGAGGAGAAUGGAAUUCCUAGUGUAGCGGUGAAAUGCGUAGAGAUUAGGAAGAACACCAGUGGCGAAGGCGAUUCUCUGGACUGUAACUGACGCUGAGGCACGAAAGCGUGGGUAGCAAACAGGAUUAGAUACCCUGGUAGUCCACGCCGUAAACGAUGAGUACUAGGUGUAGGAGGUAUCGACCCCUUCUGUGCCGCAGUAAACACAUUAAGUACUCCGCCUGGGAAGUACGAUCGCAAGAUUAAAAC